GACGAACGCUGGCGGCGUGCCUAAUACAUGCAAGUCGAACGCUGAAGGAGGAGCUUGCUCUUCUGGAUGAGUUGCGAACGGGUGAGUAACGCGUAGGUAACCUGCCUGGUAGCGGGGGAUAACUAUUGGAAACGAUAGCUAAUACCGCAUAACAGUAGAUGUUGCAUGACAUUUGCUUAAAAGGUGCAAUUGCACCACUACCAGCUGGACCUGCGUUGUAUUAGCUAGUUGGUGGGGUAACGGCUCACCAAGGCGACGAUACAUAGCCGACCUGAGAGGGUGAUCGGCCGCACUGGGACUGAGACACGGCCCAGAGGCCUACGGGAGGCAGCAGUAGGGAAUCUUCGGCAAUGGACGGAAGUCUGACCGAGCAACGCCGCGGGAGUGAAGAAGGUUGUCGGAUCGGAAAGCUCGGUUGUAAGAGAAGAACGAGUGUGAGAGUGGAAAGUUCACAAUGUGACGGUAGCUGAACAGAAAGGGACGGCUAACUACGUG
rnacentral:rRNA from 1 species